rnacentral:lncRNA from 7 species
ACACAUCAGUCGCACUUCCCCACGCGCGCCCUGUUCUCUUCUCCACCGAGCUCUUUAUCUGUGCGCCACCUCCGCUGUCGCCUGCUCCUAGCCGGUGUCCUCGGUUGGCCCGAGCUCCGGUGACCUGCUCCCACGACUGCACCCGAGCCCCUCCUUCUCCUAUGCUGUGUGACUGCAUGCCCGCUCGCGAGACUGGGUCGAAAGCGGUUCAGGCCAGGACGACUUCAUAGGGAAAACCCCCAAGGCAUCUCCAUAUAGACUUAAAAAUCCUUGAGUGUUCAUGAGUGUUGCCCUCUUGCAAGCGCCAAACUCUAGGUUGUGGUUCCUUACCCGGCUGGAGUCUACGUCUCCGACAUUUGGUGCGCUAGGUAGCGGGAUGUUAAGUCCCUGUGAGUUUUGUGCCCUCCCUCUAGUGCCUCCGAUGGGUGCAUUCGGUCACCCGACCGGAGUCUACGUCACCGACAUUCGAUGCUACAGGGAUGGGGGAAUGGAGGUGUUUCCCCUAUGAGCCCCUUCCUCGUCUUGGUAGGGAGAAUCUCGAAUAUGAUUCUCCUAGCCAGGCGUUGAAGUUCCUCCUCUGACGACCGGUGCACUCCGUCGCCCGGCCAGCGAGGGCUACGCCUGCGACAACCUCAUCUCGUCGGAGGUGGCCUACGGGCCAUGGGGCCCCUGGGGGCACACCACGUGCACUAGUGGGGUUUCAAGAGCAGUGCUAAGACCCACGUCGCCCCCUACGUCGGCCUACUACUAGGCUCUGUGGCGCCAGACCUAACUCGUCGACCACAACAAGAGAUAUAUGGCAUUUGCAACGUCUCGAAUUUCUAUUUUAGGAUUUAUAAAAGUCCUAAAAAGUUUUGAGAAUAAAAUGACUUCCAAUAACAAUUUCAAUCCUUUAUAGAGUAUAUCUCUCUAAACUAAAAAAUAUCAAUAACUAAAAAUUUGGUAUUCAAAACAUAGAUCCAAAACGUAAAACUUAAAGUUGAAGCAACAAAUAAAAGAGAGACUUUCAAUAUAUUUCUUGUUCCCUUUAAAGCACUCUUUAAAAAUGUUCAAACAAAAAAAUAUAUUAAAACUAGGGAGAUUUUUAAAUAAUGUGGCUAAAUAUUUUACAUAAAUUAUUUCCAUUGUUAUAUAAAAGUUUAGAUAAUUAUUUGAAAGAAAAAUUUAUUGGAAUUUGGUUCUCUUAUGGGAAUUAUAUAUUUGAAAUUUAUAGGAAAGUACUAAAUAAAUUUUCUGCUUUUGCAUAUCAUACUGGAUUUCUAUGUGUGCAUUUGAACUUGAGUGUAUAACUCAAAACCCAAUUUGGAUUUAAACAAAUAGAAAAUAAAAU